GGCGAGUGAAGAGGAAAGAGCUCAAAGUUGGAACCUGUUUGGCUUAGCUAAACCGGAUUGUAAACUGUAGAAGUGUUUUCCAGACACGCCUGGUAAAAAAGUCCUUUGGAACAGGGCAUCAUAGAGGGUGAGAAUCCCGUCUUUGGCCAGAGCUGUUGUCUUUUGUGAUACAUUUUCAAAGAGUCAGGUUGUUUGGGAAUGCAGCCUAAAUUGGGUGGUAAAUCUCACCUAAAGCUAAAUAUUUGCGAGAGACCGAUAGCGAACAAGUACCGUGAGGGAAAGAUGAAAAGAACUUUGAAAAGAGAGUUAAACAGUAUGUGAAAUUGUUAAAAGGGAACCGUUUGGAGCCAGACUGGCUNNNCUGUAAUCAAUCUAGGCUUCGGCCUGGAUGCACUUGCGGUUUAUGCCUGCCAACGACAAUUUUUUUUGAGGGAAAAAACUAUUAGGAAUGUGGCCCCCUCGGGGGUGUUAUAGCCUUUUAGAAAAUACCUUGAAUUGGAUUGAGGAACGCAGUGAAUGCCUUUAGGCAAGAUUGCUGGGCGCUUUCGCUAA
rnacentral:rRNA from 1 species